AUUGAACGCUGGCGGCAGGCCUAACACAUGCAAGUCGAACGAGUGGCGGACGGGUGAGUAAUGUCUGGGAAACUGCCCUAUGGAGGGGGAUAACUACUGGAAACGGUAGCUAAUACCGCAUACCAUCGGAUGAGCCCAUAUGGGAUUAGCUAGUAGGUGGGGUAAAGGCUCACCAAGUCGACGAUCCCUAGCUGGUCUGAGAGGAUGACCAGCCACACUGGAACUGAGACACGGCCCAGACUCCUACGGGAGGCAGCAGUGGUGAAUAUUGCGCAAUGGGCGCAAGCCUGAUGCAGCCAUGCCGCGUGAAUGAAGAAGGCCUUCGGGUUGUAAAGUUCUUUCGGGAAGGAGGCGUUACCUGCAGAAGAAGCACCGGCUAACUCCGUGCCAGCCGCCGCGGUAAUAC
rnacentral:rRNA from 1 species